rnacentral:lncRNA from 12 species
AUGCAGAUGAUAAGCAAUCUUUUUUUUUCUUUCUUUGAAACAUAUGGGAACUAGGUAAAACCUCAGAAUGCCACCACAAGAAGGAACUGGCAAGGAUGAGCUUCCUCCAUCAGGACUCCCUAUUAAGCAACGGGUCAGGGUGGAAUGCACACUGUCGCGGCGGCAUCUCCGGAGCCAUCCGGCCGUUCUCAGAUGCCCAACAAGGAUCCCGCUGCCAACACGCAUUCGGGUUCUGAAAAGGUGUCAGCCUUUCUUCCCAGCACUCAAGUCUUCAUCUUCCACAACCUUGGGAAGAUUAGGAGGAUGUUACAGAGGCCAUCACAAACCUGACAACAUGGAGUCACGCGCAUGAAUGUUAUGCCAAGUGGGAGAGCCGCAUGGUUUUAACUGCGGGAGACAGAUCACUUCUAUGUAAUCAAAUGCCAAGAAGAGCAUAGGUCUGUUUUUCCAAGAAAUGAUGAAUCAUUUUCCUGUCCAAAAUUCACUAUUUCAAAUUCAAACAGGAAUGUUUAUUAUGCAGUAUCUUGGAAGACAUAUUUAUCUGCUUUUUCCAUCCUUGUUCUCUUUGCCCAUUUCAUUUUUUCAAAAAGGGAAGUGGGAGGAAGACAAACGAUCGCUCUGAGUGCCAAAUGGAUUUUAAAAUAAUGACUCUAAAAUAUUGAUGCCUCAAGUACAAAUAGAAGGAACAUAGAUAAUUGUUUUCAAGGUGGAACUAAGGAGAUUUAAAAAACGUUUUCAUGGGAUAGAAACAGUUAAUUUUCUGAGGCUGAUUUCCAGAGUUCACAUCAACAGUCCACACAUAACAUAAUGUAAGAUGUACUUAAAUACCCAAAGUAAUUUCACCGGGCAAUGAACCACAGUGUUUUCCCCGUUUGCUCUUACUCAGAACACACUCACCAGUUCACUCGGCAUCCAUCACUUUUAUUUUGUAUCAGAUACUCAAGGUCUGAAGUAAUAAUGGAUAAGGGAUCCAAAGAAUAGAGUAUUGCUUUGAGCUGCUGACACAUCGAAGAAUGCGGCAUUCUGCAGGACUGUGCUGCUGGCCAGGAUACCCGUGUUCAGCUCAUAGCUCUUUCCAGAAAGCAUGCCAUUGCUCCCCCAUUUCUGUGUGCUAGGUAUCCUAUAGUGCGCGAUUAAAAAUGGAAGGUUUUCUCAUUUUGUUCAAUAGAAUGGGAAAUAGUAUACUAUGUAUUUAAUUUUAACCAUAUCACUCCAUAGACACAUUUUUCAUGAACUACGUUCGAAAGCCUGCUUUUCAUUUCUUGACUGUAAAAUAUCUUGAAAUAGUAACCAGUGCGAGACAAAAAUGAGAGAGUGCCUUUAUAUUUUUAUGUGAAUUGUUUGGGAUGCAA